rnacentral:ncRNA from 2 species
UUAUGCAUUGCACAUUCAGGUGUUCGCAAGAACGCAAGAGGGAACCCCGCGUAAAUCGGGGACGGGCCCGCCGCUGUGACCGGGGACGAACGCUGCACCAAAGUCACUGACCCUAGAAGGGUUGGGAAGACGCAGUUAGUAGGAUGAGCCGGAAGUCAGAAGACCUGCCUGAAUGGAUGUUUGGAG